UACGUAGGGUGCAAGCGUUUGUCCGGAAUUAUUGGGCGUAAAGAGCUCGUAGGCGGUCUGUCGCGUCGGCUGUGAAAUCCCGAGGCUCAACCUCGGGUCUGCAGUCGAUACGGGCAAACUAGAGUAUUGCAGGGGAGACUGGAAUUCCUGGUGUAGCGGUGAAAUGCGCAGAUAUCAGGAGGAACACCGGUGGCGAAGGCGGGUCUCUGGGCAAUAACUGACGCUGGAGGAGCGAAAGCGUGGGAGCGAACAGG
rnacentral:rRNA from 1 species